rnacentral:rRNA from 1 species
UACGGAGGGAGCUAGCGUUAUUCGGAAUUACUGGGCGUAAAGCGCACGUAGGCGGCUUUGUAAGUAAGAGGUGAAAGCCCAGAGCUCAACUCUGGAAUUGCCUUUUAGACUGCAUCGCUUGAAUCAUGGAGAGGUCAGUGGAAUUCCGAGUGUAGAGGUGAAAUUCGUAGAUAUUCGGAAGAACACCAGUGGCGAAGGCGGGUUGCCUGGAGCUUUGCUGACGCUGAGGCGGCGAAAGCGUGGGGAGCCGAUCCGG